UUUUUAUUUUCAACCGACGAGUCGCAGCUUUGGAAACAAACAAAUUAAAAGUUUUCCUUAAUUAGUGAAGCAGGAGAAAAGGUUUUGAUGCAGAUGAACAGAAGAGUCACCGAAGAGUCUUGACAAAUCUUCGAAACGGUUCAGCAAGUGUCCACCAGGCUGUGCUGUGUGAUAAGAAAUGUGGCUUCCCCUUCAACAACAACCUGCAAUAGACGACGUGAGGAGCUGUUGCUGCACGUCGAGCUCGUGUCCCCGUACUUCACUCACGGUGAAAUGCUGCGUCUCAGGAUUCAGGGGCCAUGAACCCGCGACACUCAGGUGCAGUACCCGGCCGAUUCAACCUGAAACAGAAACGGGCGAACAGAAAUAGCUUCAAAGGACACUGGAGUCUUUUGGCAGAGAGGAGGAGGAUGAGGAGGAUGAGGAGGAUGAUGAGGCGCGAGGACGAGCACAAGGACGAGAUAAAACAGAGCAGGAGCGAGGAGGAGGAGGAGGAGGAGGGACCAAAGCAAGGACGAGGCUGCUUCAUCGGUGUCCUGGGAAAGAGAAAAGAGGAGGAGGAGGAGGGAGGACGGGGGGAGCCUGACGGGCGAGAGACUGCAAACGAGGCCGGGAAUCAUCAGGGACCGUCUUCAAGAAAGGGUCCGUGUGCAAAUAAGUCAAUGUCAACCUUGAAUGAGCAGGUUGGAAAGCCGUCGGUAUCUCUCCGCCUCCGAGGCGGCCUGCAUCUCUCUCCAGCGGCCUCCGAAAAAAAUCACUCCUACGAUACAUCGCCGAGAUUUUGUUGUGCUGCGAGCGCGGGGGGGUGAAGAAAAAAAAUGAUGAAACCACGAAACAAUACGCGCGCAACAAACACACCGACGUGGCGACACAUUUCUUGAAGGUUUGGGACGAUACAGACGGAUGAUUUCGCCCUGCGGACUUUGUGAAACCUCCGGUGGCGUGAAGAAGAGACACAGAUUGUCCCGUUUGAGCCCAGAUAUCCGUCUCUGUGAUUUCUUCAGGCCUAGACGACAGCUCGGGUCAGGAGGACACAUGACUGAUGACGAUGUGACAGAGGAAGAACCAGGAUGAGCGAGAGAGAGCGAAUCAGGGGAGACCCCUGCCGAAGGUUGAGAAUGAAAGCAACAUACCCGCCGCAGGAAGGCCAGAGCUUUAACAGACGGGGCCGUUUGAUCAGAAAGGCCUGGUUCAUCUUCGUCUGUCUCGUGGACGUCGUCGCUGGAUGAUGAUGAUGCCGCCGCCGCCGCCGGAUUCUCUGAAGAGACAGAAAGGAAAUGAGAUGACGGGGGGAAAUGUAACGGCCGAGGUGUCUGUCGGUGUUGACCACAACACAUCACACACAUGUACAGUCGCAGCUUCCUCCUAUCGAACGGCACAGCUCCGCGAUGUUCACACCCGGGCAAAUAUUCAAACACAAGACUCAAAGUGUUUCAAAUGGAAAUAUUAAAGAUGUCUUUUGGACGUGCACUGAAGAUUGGACAUUUCCCAGAGUAUAUGAGAACGCGUUCGUCCACAAAGAUUUUCUCCGGACAUUUUCCAGAACUUUAAAAGUAAAAAUUUCCACCAAAAUGUCAGUGAGUGAGAGAGGGCGAGUCGAUGACUGCGAACAAAAACCACUCGUGCUUUCCAGAACGAUGAUCCGGAGAUUUUCCCGCUGUUGCUCCGAACGCGUCUUUUCUGGAGUUUUUCCCCGAUGUUUUCCUUCUGAAACCGCUUCAAUAACCCGACUUCAAACUCUACAGCGACGUCUAGGGAUUGUCCGGUGUCACCGUUGAGUUUUCCCCCGGGUCUAACUAAUGUUUUUUUGGAACAGCUGAUCCUUUGGAUUCGAAAAUGUUCUGCUGUGUGAACGGCAAAUUCCGGAAAAUCUCCGGACCCGAUUUGUGCAGAUAUUUUUUCCGGAGUUCAACGGCUUCAUACACUUUUCCAAUUGUUAAACUUUGGACAUUUUUUGGGAUCUUUGUCAUUUGUAAUAAAGUUUUGGGAUAUUUAUUCCGGUCUACACAUGCUCAUUUUUUUAUUUAUCUAUCCCUUGAUCCCAUUAAUUUUCUUACAGGGAACAGAUUAAAUAUUAGCGGAACUUUUCAUGACUUGUUGUGAAUCUCAGCAUCUCAGGAAGGUUUCAGUGAACUGAUGCUUGAUGUUUUUGUCUGUGAAUGUCCAGAGUUUCCAUGUAGGAAGCUGAACUCAUCCCGACACGUCCACCAACCAGCAGCCCCCGUUCACUUCACUCUGACCUAAUUAGCAUCGCUCAAGAUAAAGUUAAUCUAGGUGCAGAUAUUGUUAUUAAAAAAUGACGUGGGGGAAAAGUGGUCAGCGGUGAAAUGGAGCUCACUGCAUCCAGGUGAGAUUAAGCUGAUUAAUAAUCAGUGUGUGAUGGAAAAGGGAUGACGAGUAACCGAGUACAUUAACUCAAGUACAGUAGCCUGUUUGUCUUAUUUCAUUAAUAUCCGAUAAGUUUCACAUCUGUCAUGAUCCAGUGAUCUCACACUAACGUCAUCAUCUGGAGAAGUGGUUCUGCUGUCGUUUUACUGAUUAUCUGUCUAUUUUUCCCUCUAAUUUGACUAAUUGUUGCGCUGUUUUAUGUAUUUUUCUUGAUACAUCUAUUGUCUGCAUAUAGUUUUACUAAUCAUUUGUGCCUUAAGUUUUCAUAUGUCAUAGAUUUAUUAGUUAUGAAUGCUAACCUAUUGUGCUUCAGUGUUUUUACACAUGUCUCUGUAUGAAUUUAACCAUCAACCUGCAGAUGAAAACUAGUCCACAUGGCUGAAUCUGGCACAUGUUGGACUCAAGUGUAUUAAUUAAAUUUGUGCAUCUUCCAUUCAAAAUAAAACAAACACAUAAUGAUUAACAACUAUAUAUAAUAUGUUAUAAUAAGGAAAAAGGCCCAUAGAUAGUUUUUGUUGGAGAGAAGUGACGAAAUGAAAGUGUUUGAUUUCACAUUUGCCCCCUUACAGACAAAUAUCUAUUUAAUAUUUAAGCAUUGAUUUGACACUGGAUAAAUUAAUAUAUUAUAUUUAUUUAAGCUGUUUAUAAUCUGUUUCAAGCAUUUAAUGUUACUUUAUUAUUACUUUAUUAGUUGUUUUGACUUUUACUUGUAACAAAGUUUAAAGUGAAUGGAAAGUCUCCUGAGGUUUAAGGGAUUAAUGGAUGAAAACAGAAUUACUUUCUUGGUAAAGUAAAGUAACGAGUA